rnacentral:rRNA from 2 species
UGUGAACUCGAAGAGUAGGGCGGGACACGUGGUAUCCUGUCUGAAUAUGGGGGGACCAUCCUCCAAGGCUAAAUACUCCUGACUGACCGAUAGUGAACCAGUACCGUGAGGGAAAGGCGAAAAGAACCCCGGCGAGGGGAGUGAAAAAGAACCUGAAACCGUGUACGUACAAGCAGUGGGAGCACCUUCGGGUGUGACUGCGUACCUUUUGUAUAAUGGGUCAGCGACUUAUAUUCUGUAGCAAGGUUAACCGUAUAGGGGAGCCGCAGGGAAACCGAGUCUUAACUGGGCGUUAAGUUGCAGGGUAUAGACCCGAAACCCGGUGAUCUAGCCAUGGGCAGGUUGAAGGUUGGGUAACACUAACUGGAGGACCGAACCGACUAAUGUUGAAAAAUUAGCGGAUGACUUGUGGCUGGGGGUGAAAGGCCAAUCAAACCGGGAGAUAGCUGGUUCUCCCCGAAAGCUAUUUAGGUAGCGCCUCGUGAACUCAUCUUCGGGGGUAGAGCACUGUUUCGGCUAGGGGGUCAUCCCGACUUACCAACCCGAUGCAAACUACGAAUACCGAAGAAUGUUAUCACGGGAGACACACGGCGGGUGCUAACGUCCGUCGUGAAGAGGGAAACAACCCAGACCGCCAGCUAAGGUCCCAAAGUCAUGGUUAAGUGGGAAACGAUGUGGGAAGGCACAGACAGCCAGGAUGUUGGCUUAGAAGCAGCCAUCAUUUAAAGAAAGCGUAAUAGCUCACUGGUCGAGUCGGCCUGCGCGGAAGAUGUAACGGGGCUAAACCAUGCACCGAAGCUGCGGCAGCGACACUAUGUGUUGUUGGGUAGGGGAGCGUUCUGUAAGCCUGCGAAGGUGUGCUGUGAGGCAUGCUGGAGGUAUCAGAAGUGCGAAUGCUGACAUAAGUAACGAUAAAGCGGGUGAAAAGCCCGCUCGCCGGAAGACCAAGGGUUCCUGUCCAACGUUAAUCGGGGCAGGGUGAGUCGACCCCUAAGGCGAGGCCGAAAGGCGUAGUCGAUGGGAAACAGGUUAAUAUUCCUGUACUUGGUGUUACUGCGAAGGGGGGACGGAGAAGGCUAUGUUAGCCGGGCGACGGUUGUCCCGGUUUAAGCAUGUAGGCUGGUUAUCCAGGCAAAUCCGGAUAAUCAAGGCUGAGGUGUGAUGACGAGGCACUACGGUGCUGAAGUAACAAAUGCCCUGCUUCCAGGAAAAGCCUCUAAGCAUCAGGUAACAUCAAAUCGUACCCCAAACCGACACAGGUGGUCAGGUAGAGAAUACCAAGGCGCUUGAGAGAACUCGGGUGAAGGAACUAGGCAAAAUGGUGCCGUAACUUCGGGAGAAGGCACGCUGGUGUGUAGGUGAAGUCCCUGCGGAUGGAGCUGAGACCAGUCGAAGAUACCAGCUGGCUGCAACUGUUUAUUAAAAACACAGCACUGUGCAAACACGAAAGUGGACGUAUACGGUGUGACGCCUGCCCGGUGCCGGAAGGUUAAUUGAUGGGGUUAUCCGUAAGGAGAAGCUCUUGAUCGAAGCCCCGGUAAACGGCGGCCGUAACUAUAACGGUCCUAAGGUAGCGAAAUUCCUUGUCGGGUAAGUUCCGACCUGCACGAAUGGCGUAAUGAUGGCCAGGCUGUCUCCACCCGAGACUCAGUGAAAUUGAACUCGCUGUGAAGAUGCAGUGUACCCGCGGCAAGACGGAAAGACCCCGUGAACCUUUACUAUAGCUUGACACUGAACAUUGAGCCUUGAUGUGUAGGAUAGGUGGGAGGCUUUGAAGCGUGGACGCCAGUCUGCGUGGAGCCAACCUUGAAAUACCACCCUUUAAUGUUUGAUGUUCUAACGUUGGCCCCUGACCGGGGUUGCGGACAGUGUCUGGUGGGUAGUUUGACUGGGGCGGUCUCCUCCCAAAGCGUAACGGAGGAGCACGAAGGUUAGCUAAUCCUGGUCGGACAUCAGGAGGUUAGUGCAAUGGCAUAAGCUAGCUUGACUGCGAGCGUGACGGCGCGAGCAGGUGCGAAAGCAGGUCAUAGUGAUCCGGUGGUUCUGAAUGGAAGGGCCAUCGCUCAACGGAUAAAAGGUACUCCGGGGAUAACAGGCUGAUACCGCCCAAGAGUUCAUAUCGACGGCGGUGUUUGGCACCUCGAUGUCGGCUCAUCACAUCCUGGGGCUGAAGUAGGUCCCAAGGGUAUGGCUGUUCGCCAUUUAAAGUGGUACGCGAGCUGGGUUUAGAACGUCGUGAGACAGUUCGGUCCCUAUCUGCCGUGGGCGCUGGAGAAUUGAGGGGGGCUGCUCCUAGUACGAGAGGACCGGAGUGGACGCAUCACUGGUGUUCGGGUUGUCAUGCCAAUGGCACUGCCCGGUAGCUAAAUGCGGAAGAGAUAAGUGCUGAAAGCAUCUAAGCACGAAACUUGCCCCGAGAUGAGUUCUCCCUGAGACU